rnacentral:lncRNA from 7 species
CAAACUGGACAUACUCCAUACACAAUAGCAAGAAGGCUGAGUGUAAUAAUAAGAAGGGGUUCCCAGAAUCAAAAACUGAAUUUAAAAAAAGGAUGAAGGUAGCACAAGCCACUGCAUGUACAACACAUCAGCUAUGUUGUUCUCAUGAAGCGUGCCGGGGUUCAGUAGCACAAACAAUCAACUAUUUAGGAUGUCUCAAAAGCUCCUGCUCACUCUUAGUGG